ensembl:snRNA U1 U1 spliceosomal RNA
CUACUUACCCAACAGGGGAUAGACUGAGAUCGAUAACAAGGCUUUCCUGGGUAAGGGUAUUUUUUGCAUUCCAGGUAUGCUGACUCUGGUGAUUUCCCUAAAUGUAAAGAAGCCAACAGCAUAAUUUGUAGUGAAAAACUGUAUUUACACCUUCAAA